UACGGAGGGUGCAAGCGUUGCUCGGAAUUACUGGGCGUAAAGCGCGUGUAGGCGGUCUCGUAUGUCUGAUGUGAAAUCCCCGGGCUCAACCCGGGAAGUGCAUUGGAAACUGCGAGACUGGAGUCCCGGAGAGGAAGGUGGAAUUCCAGGUGUAGCGGUGAAAUGCGUAGAGAUAUGGAGGAACACCAGUGGCGAAGGCGACUUUCUGGGCUGUAACUGACACUGAGGCGCGAAAGCGUGGGGAGCAAACAGG
rnacentral:rRNA from 1 species